rnacentral:rRNA from 1 species
UGGGGAAUAUUGGACAAUGGGCGCAAGCCUGAUCCAGCAACGCCGCGUGGAGGAUGAAGGUCUUCGGAUCGUAAACUCCUGUCAGAUGGGACGAAGGUUCGAUGGUUAAGAGCUGUUGAGCUUGACGGUACCAUCAGAGGAAGCCCCGGCUAACUCCGUGCCAGCAGCCGCGGUAAUACGGAGGGGGCGAGCGUUAUUCGGAAUUAUUGGGCGUAAAGGGCGCGUAGGCGGCUCGCUAAGUCAAAGGUGAAAUCCCUCGGCUCAACUGAGGAACUGCCUUUGAAACUGUCGGGCUUGAGGCCGGGAGGGGGUAGCGGAAUUCCCAGUGUAGCGGUGAAAUGCGUAGAUAUUGGGAGGAACACCAGUGGCGAAGGCGGCUACCUGGACCGGUACUGACGCUGAUGCGCGAAAGCGUGGGUAGCAAACAGGAUUAGAUACCCCCGUAGUCC